rnacentral:rRNA from 1 species
GACGAACGCUGGCGGCGUGCUUAACACAUGCAAGUCGAACGGAAAGGCCCUGCUUUUGUGGCGUUCUCGAGUGGCGAACGGGUGAGUAACACGUGAGUAACCUGCCCUUGACUUUGGGAUAACUUCAGUAAACUCGGGCUAAUAUCGGAUAGGAGCUCCUGCUGCAUGGUGGGUGUGGGAAAGUUUCGGCGUUUGGGGAUGGACUCGCGGUUUAUCAGCUUGUUGGUGGGGUAGUGGCUUACCAAGGCUUUGACGGGUAGCCGGACUGAGAGGGUGACCGGCCACAGUGGGACUGAGAUGCGGGCAAGACUGCUACGGGAGGAAGGAGUGGGGAAUAUUGCAAGAUGGGCGGAAGCCUGAUGGAGCAACGCCGCGUGCGAGAUGACGGUCUUCAGGUUGUAAACCGCUUUCGCCUGUGAAGAAGCGUAAGUGACGGUAAUGGGUAAAGAAGCACCGGCUAACUACGUG